CUGGAAUAGCCUUCCAGUGGGAGCAGUAACAGUGAUAUAGAAAGUGUAGUAGAUACCUGGAAUAGCCUUCCAGUGGGAGCAGUAAAGUCUAACAGUGAUAUAGAAAGGGUAGUAGAUACCUGGAAUAGCCUUCCAGUGGGAGCAGUAACCGUGAUAUAGAAAGGGUAGUAGAUACCUGGAAUAGCCUUCCAGUGGGAACAGUAAAGGCUAACAGUGAUAUAGAAAA